rnacentral:rRNA from 1 species
AGAUAUCACCAAGAAUACCCAUUGCGAAGGCGAUCUGCUGGAACUCAACUGACGCUAAGGCGCGAAAGCGUGGGGAGCAAACAGGAUUAGAUACCCUGGUAGUCCACGCCCUAAACGAUGUACACUAGUUGUUGGGAUGCUAGUCAUCUCAGUAAUGCAGCUAACGCAUUAAGUGUACCGCCUGGGGAGUACGGUCGCAAGAUUAAAACUCAAAGGAAUAGACGGGGACCCGCACAAGCGGUGGAGCAUGUGGUUUAAUUCGAAGAUACGCGAAGAACCUUACCUGGGCUUGAUAUCCUAAGAACCUUAUAGAGAUAUGAGGGUGCUAGCUUGCUAGAACUUAGAGACAGGUGCUGCACGGCUGUCGUCAGCUCGUGUCGUGAGAUGUUGGGUUAAGUCCCGCAACGAGCGCAACCCACGUAUUUAGUUGCUAACGGUUCGGCCGAGCACUCUAAAUAGACUGCCUUCGUAAGGAGGAGGAAGGUGUGGACGACGUCAAGUCAUCAUGGCCCUUAUGCCCAGGGCGACACACGUGCUACAAUGGCAUAUACAAUGAGACGCAAUACCGCGAGGUGGAGCAAAUCUAUAAAAUAUGUCCCAGUUCGGAUUGUUCUCUGCAACUCGAGAGCAUGAAGCCGGAAUCGCUAGUAAUCGUAGAUCAGCCAUGCUACGGUGAAUACGUUCCCGGGUCUUGUACUCACCGCCCGUCACACCAUGGGAGUUGAUUUCACUCGAAGCCGGAAUACUAAACUAGUUACCGUCCACAGUGGAAUCAGCGACUGGGGUGAAGUCGUAACAAGGUAACCGUAGGAGAACCUGCGGUUGGAUCACCUCCUUUCUA